rnacentral:rRNA from 1 species
GACGUAGGGGGCGAGCGUUGUCCGGAAUUACUGGGCGUAAAGAGCACGCAGGCGGGGAAUUAAGUCCGUUGUGAAAGACCGCAGCUCAACUGCGGAACUGCAGCGGAAACUGAUUCUCUUGAGGGCAGGAGAGGAAAGCGGAAUUCCUGGUGUAGCGGUGAAAUGCGUAGAAAUCAGGAGGAACACCGGUGGCGAAGGCGGCUUUCUGGACUGACCCUGACGCUCAGGUGCGAAAGCGUGGGUAG